AUUGAGCGCUGGCGGCAUGCCUAACACAUGCAAGUCGAACGCGAAAGAGGGGCAACUCUCGAGUAGAGUGGCGGACGGGUAAGUAAUACGUAGGAAUCUGCCCUAGAGUGGGGGAUAACCUGUCGAAAGACGGGCUAAUACCGCAUAUACUCUGAGGAGCAAAGGUGACUAGCAAUAGCCUUCGCUUUAGGAUGAGCCUACGUCGGAUUAGCUAGUUGGUAGGGUAAUGGCCUAACAAGGCGACAAUCCGUAGCUGGUCUGAGAGGACGAUCAGCCACACUGGAACUGAGACACGGUCCAGACUCCUACGGGAGGCAGCAGUGGGGAAUAUUGGACAAUGGGGGAAACCCUGAUCCAGCAAUGCCGCGUGUGCGAUGAAGGCCUGCGGGUUGUAAAGCACUUUCGUUGGGGAAGAAAUGCUCAAAGAUAAUACAUUUGAGAGCUGACGUUACCCAAAGAAGAAGCACCGGCAAACUCUGUGCCAGCCGCCGCGGUAA
rnacentral:rRNA from 1 species